GACACGAUGGCCGAGUGGUCUAAGGCGGUAGAUUUAAGCGCGCCUGCCGCACGUUAAGCGCGGUGGGAUUACGAUGACCUCUACUGGGGCAACCCGCGUGAGUUCGAACCUCACUCGUGUCA